CAAAAAGCUAAUCUGAGCAGGGUUAGCCGGCCCCUAAGACGAGGCGAAACGCGUAGUCGAUGGGAACCACGUUAAUAUUCGUGGGCUUGGAGGUAGUGACGGAUCGCACAAGUUGUCCAAUCUUAUCGGAUUGAACGGGCAGCGGAGCGGUUCCAGGAAAUAGCUCCUCCUUAUAAACCGUACCCGAAACCGACACUGGUGGUCAGGUAGAGUAUACCAAGGCGCUUGAGAGAACUAUGCUGAAGGAACUCGGCAAAUUGCACGCGUAACUUCGGAAGAAGCGUGACCCUUCUAUGCGCAAGCAUUGGAGGGUGGCACAGACCAGGGGGUAGCGACUGUUUAUCAAAAACACAGGGCUCUGCGAAGUCGCAAGACGACGUAUAGGGUCUGACGCCUGCCCGGUGCUGGAAGGUUAAGAGGAGGGGUGCAAGCUCUGAAUCGAAGCCCCAGUAAACGGCGGCCGUAACAAUAACGGUCCUAAGGUAGCGAAAUUCCUUGUCGGGUAAGUUCCGACCUGCACGAAUGGCGUAACGACUUCCCCGCUGUCUCCAGCAUAGACUCAGUGAAAUUGAAUUCCCCGUGAAGAUGCGGGGUUCCUGCGGUUAGACGGAAAGACCCCGUGCACCUUUACUAUAGCUUUACAUUGGCAUUCGUAGUGGCAUGUGUAGGAUAGGUGGUAGGCUUUGAAACCUGGGCGCCAGCUCAGGUGGAGCCAACCUUGAAAUACCACCCUUAUUACUAUGGAUGUCUAACCGCGGCCCGUUAUCCGGGUCCGGGACAAUGUAUGGUGGGUAGUUUGACUGGGGCGGUCGCCUCCUAAAGAGUAACGGAGGCGCGCGAUGGUGGGCUCAGAACGGUCGGAAAUCGUUCGCUGAGUGCAAUGGCAUAAGCCUGCCUGACUGCGAGACUGACAAGUCGAGCAGAGACGAAAGUCGGUCAUAGUGAUCCGGUGGUCCCGCGUGGAAGGGCCAUCGCUCAACGGAUAAAAGGUACGCCGGGGAUAACAGGCUGAUGACCCCCAAGAGUCCAUAUCGACGGGAUUGUUUGGCACCUCGAUGUCGACUCAUCGCAUCCUGGGGCUGGAGCAGGUCCCAAGGGUAUGGCUGUUCGCCAUUUAAAGCGGUACGUGAGUUGGGUUCAGAACGUCGUGAGACAGUUCGGUCCCUAUCUGCCGUGGGUGUAGGAAUAUUGAAAGGAUCUGUCCCUAGUACGAGAGGACCGGGAUGGACGGAUCUCUGGUGGACCUGUUGUGGCGCCAGCCGCAUAGCAGGGUAGCUAUAUCCGGACGGGAUAACCGCUGAAGGCAUCUAAGCGGGAAACCCACCUUAAAACGAGUAUUCCCUGAGAACCGUGGAAGACGACCACGUUGAUAGGCCGGGUGUGGAAGAGCGGCAACGCUUGAAGCUUACCGGUACUAAUAGUUCUAA
rnacentral:rRNA from 1 species